UGGCUCAGGAUGAACGCUAGCUACAGGCUUAACACAUGCAAGUCGAGGGGCAGCAUGGUCUUAUCUUGCUAAGGCCGAUGGCGACCGGCGCACGGGUGAGUAACACGUAUCCAACCUGCCGUCUACUCUUGGACAGCCUUCUGAAAGGAAGAUUAAUACAAGAUGGCAUCAUGAGUCCGCAUGUUCACAUGAUUAAAGGUAUUCCGGUAGACGAUGGGGAUGCGUUCCAUUAGAUAGUAGGCGGGGUAACGGCCCACCUAGUCUUCGAUGGAUAGGGGUUCUGAGAGGAAGGUCCCCCACAUUGGAACUGAGACACGGUCCAAACUCCUACGGGAGGCAGCAGUGAGGAAUAUUGGUCAAUGGGCGAGAGCCUGAACCAGCCAAGUAGCGUGAAGGAUGACUGCCCUAUGGGUUGUAAACUUCUUUUAUAAAGGAAUAAAGUCGGGUAUGCAUACCCGUUUGCAUGUACUUUAUGAAUAAGGAUCGGCUAACUCCGUGCCAGCAGCCGCGGUAAUACGGAGGAUCCGAGCGUUAUCCGGAUUUAUUGGGUUUAAAGGGAGCGUAGAUGGAUGUUUAAGUCAGUUGUGAAAGUUUGCGGCUCAACCGUAAAAUUGCAGUUGAUACUGGAUAUCUUGAGUGCAGUUGAGGCAGGCGGAAUUCGUGGUGUAGCGGUGAAAUGCUUAGAUAUCACGAAGGACUCCGAUUGCGAAGGCAGCCUGCUAAGCUGCAACUGACAUUGAGGCUCGAAAGUGUGGGUAUCAAACAGGAUUAGAUACCCUGGUAGUCCACACGGUAAACGAUGAAUACUCGCUGUUUGCGAUAUACGGCAAGCGGCCAAGCGAAAGCGUUAAGUAUUCCACCUGGGGAGUACGCCGGCAACGGUGAAACUCAAAGGAAUUGACGGGGGCCCGCACAAGCGGAGGAACAUGUGGUUUAAUUCGAUGAUACGCGAGGAACCUUACCCGGGCUUAAAUUGCAGAUGAAUUACGGUGAAAGCCGUAAGCCGCAAGGCAUCUGUGAAGGUGCUGCAUGGUUGUCGUCAGCUCGUGCCGUGAGGUGUCGGCUUAAGUGCCAUAACGAGCGCAACCCUUGUUGUCAGUUACUAACAGGUUCCGCUGAGGACUCUGACAAGACUGCCAUCGUAAGAUGUGAGGAAGGUGGGGAUGACGUCAAAUCAGCACGGCCCUUACGUCCGGGGCUACACACGUGUUACAAUGGGGGGUACAGAGGGCCGCUACCACGCGAGUGGAUGCCAAUCCCAAAAACCUCUCUCAGUUCGGACUGGAGUCUGCAACCCGACUCCACGAAGCUGGAUUCGCUAGUAAUCGCGCAUCAGCCACGGCGCGGUGAAUACGUUCCCGGGCCUUGUACACACCGCCCGUCAAGCCAUGGGAGCCGGGGGUACCUGAAGUGCGUAACCGCGAGGAGCGCCCUAGGGUAAAACU
rnacentral:rRNA from 1 species